rnacentral:tRNA from 1 species
GCAGAGAUGGCUCAGUGGUUAAGAGCACUGGCUGCUCUUCCAGAGGACCUGGGUUCAAUUCCCAGCACCCGCA